GUCCUGGCAGUAAACGGUGCGCGUUUGGUGUGGGAGGAUUCGACCCCUUCUGUGCCGGAGCUAACGCGUUAAACGCGCCGCCUGGGGAGUACGGUCGCAAGAUUAAAACUCAAAGAAAUUGACGGGGGCCCGCACAAGCGGUGGAGUAUGUGGCUUAAUUCGAUGCAACGCGAAGAACCUUACCUAGCCUUGACAUGCAUCUCUAAGUCGGUGAAAGCCGGCGACUGUAGCAAUACAGAAUUUGCACAGGUGCUGCAUGGCUGUCGU
rnacentral:rRNA from 1 species